rnacentral:rRNA from 1 species
UACGGAGGAUGCAAGCGUUAUCCGGAUUCAUUGGGUUUAAAGGGUGCGCAGGCGGGCUUGUAAGUCAGUGGUGAAAUACUGCCGCUUAACGGUAGAAUUGCCAUUGAUACUGCAGGUCUUGAGUAUGGUUGAGGUAGGCGGAAUGUGCAGUGUAGCGGUGAAAUGCAUAGAGAUUGCACAGAACACCGAUUGCGGAGGCAGCUUACUAAGCCAUAACUGACGCUGAGGCA